AUUAAUUUAACAUGGCUUUCAUUGGGAAAAGUCAGGGGGGGAAGAGAGGUCAUGACAAAGAGAAGACCAAUAGACAAAAAAGGUAAAUUUAACAUACAGUGCUUUUCUUUAAAAAAAAAAAAAUGAAAAGAAGAAAAUGCAGAAAAAAAGAAGAAUAUGUUA